AAUGUACUCAGGUGAAUAUGAUGCUUGUGAUGUUACUCUGAGUGUAUAUAGUAAGAUCAGAGUAACAUCACAAGCAUCAUAUUCACCCGAG